rnacentral:rRNA from 1 species
CAGCAGCCGCGGUAAUACGAAGGGUGCAAGCGUUACUCGGAAUUACUGGGCGUAAAGCGCGCGUAGGUGGUGGUUUAAGUCCGUUGUGAAAGCCCUGGGCUCAACCUGGGAAUUGCAGUGGAUACUGGGUCACUAGAGUGUGGUAGAGGAUAGUGGAAUUUCCGGUGUAGCAGUGAAAUGCGUAGAGAUCGGAAGGAACAUCUGUGGCGAAGGCGACUAUCUGGGCCAACACUGACACUGAGGCACGAAAGCGUGGGGAGCAAACAGGAUUAGAUACCCCCGUAGUCCCUGUCUCUUAUAC